UACGUAGGGGGCAAGCGUUAUCCGGAAUUAUUGGGCGUAAAGAGUACGUAGGUGGCAACCUAGGCGCAGGGUUUAAGGCAAUGGCUCAACCAUUGUUCGCCCUGCGAACUGGGAUGCUUGAGUGCAGGAGAGGAAAGCGGAAUUCCUAGUGUAGCGGUGAAAUGCGUAGAUAUUAGGAGGAACACCAGUGGCGAAGGCGGCUUUCUGGACUGUAACUGACACUGAGGUACGAAAGCGUGGGGAGCAAACAGG
rnacentral:rRNA from 1 species